ACGAUCGGAAUCAAGUGCUUGUAUAGAAAUUUUUUUCAUUUGACGAGAUAUCUUUACAAAAUUCGGCAUGGAUUACAAGUGUUGUCCAAGCAACGGUGCAAUUUCUGGAGAAACUGUUCAAAUCGGACCACUAUAGCAUACACGUAUAUGUAUUGUAGCUGGUCGAAAAAGACAUAAUAUUUAUAAGACUGUCAUUACUUUAAUUACAAUUGUGUUUGUAUAUAUACUGAAAAAAAACUUUAUGUAAGGUUACAGCUGUACAUAGACCCUUAUAAUUAAAAUAUUUGGCGUUUUCAUUAAUUUAAUUUCGGUCCAAAGGGCAUAUUAGCUAAAGCGCUGUCAUUUAAAGCUUGGCCACACGGUACCAAAUGUUUCCAUGGGUUAUUCAAUAUUACUGCAUGCAUUUGUAUUUGUACACUUUAGUCACUUUGUUAAGUAGAAUUGUUGUCACACAUGAUUAAAUCCAUUUGUUUAUUUCGAUUUUACAAACACAUUUCAUUCUGUUUUUUUUUUUCAUUUUACAAAUUGUUUUCAUUCUAUUUCGCCUAAAGCCAUAUUACGUCAACUAAAAGUAGCUAUGAGAAACGAGCGAUCGAAAACGACCAUCGAAGCAACGACACGCCGAACAACCUAAAUACAAUGGCUAUUGGCGCAGGUAAGCAGCAGCAGUAGACAAUAACAACGAUGACACCAAAAGAUAGCAAAGCAGAGGAAGCAAGCAAGAUAUGUAUGUGUGUAUGUAUAUAUUUUUUGUUUGUUUUUUGAACUGGAAAUGAGCGAAAACAGCCAACGAGCUGCAGUUAAACAACAAAGUAGCGAACAACGAGCGUAUGGGAAUGUGGUGUCAAUGGUGUCAGUGGUGGCUGUCAGUUGAAAUUGUUGAUGAAGUUACUUUGCAGUGGUUACUGGUGAACUGCGAAAGGAGGCGAACGCGUACAAAGAAGCAGCGAGUUGGCAAGCAGCAGCCACGCGAAGCCAACUUUCAAUUUUCAAUUGGAGGACAGACAAUUUGGCGAAAGAAAUUGGAAAAAUAAAACAACAGCCAAAAGAUACGUGCUGUAUUAUUUAUUAUUAUUUAUACUAUUUUCAGUGUUUAUUAUGGCAAAAACAACACAAAUCGCUUAAAUUUGCAAGCAAAAAUGAAAGAAAGCUGCCGCACCAGCUGAGUCUGCGGCACUUGUGUACAUAAUCACACGCUGACAGUUACACACGUUUUAAAUGAAAAUAUUUUUCUGAGAAAUUUUGCACA